ensembl:lncRNA
AAUUGCUCUGUUUUGAUAUUUCGGAUUUUAUGAAUGCAAUAUUUUAAAUGGGCACAUGGCGUGACUCUUCUUCUUUAAUUAAAAAUACUUGGGGUGGAAGAGCCCACGUAGAUGAAAAUGACUGAAAUGGAAAUGGGGGCUUUUAAGCUUUCUUUGAAAAAGUUCAAACACGGAGUAUGUCAAUGAAGUCCACAAUCCUCCUUUCCCCAUCUCUAGAUUUCUGGGUGUCAGCGCUUGGAGUAUUUCAGCUUUUUAUCACAGUUUAUGAUGGGAAGCUUGCUGAGAUUUUAAAAUAAAAUUCACAGAAUGGGGAAACCAUUUCACACCCAACUGUAACACCCUGCAGACAGACUGUGUUCAGUUAAAGAUGCUAAUGUUGUGAAAAACAGAUUUCUUCACCGCCUUUGACUUUUGCAAAGCAGACAGCAGUGUGGGAUUUGGAGGGAUCUGGAGUCAGGCUGCUCUUCUACAUCAUCAACAGAAUUGUUUACUGAGUUGGCUUUACAUGAAUACCUUGUUCACAUCUGCUAAUGGCCCAAAGGUAAUGGGCUUACAUCAAGCCAGAGUCUGAAGAAAGUGAUGUCUCCCAGGUGUCCCUAGGAUUUGUAAGGAGGCCAAAAAUGAGAGAAGCAGAAUCUACGGAGAAAGUGAAUGCAACUUUUCUGAAAGCUUCCAUGGAAAUUGUAGCUUUCUUCCGUCACCGUUACUGUGCCGUGAGUCCACGUUUGGAUGGUGCUGUCCCCUGGUCACUGAGCAGCUCAUUGAAGAGGGAGCAUUAAGAUGCUGUCUGUUUUGAUUAGCACCGCUGGGAAACACUCGUGAAGGUACCGGUCUCAGACUCAGAGGAUCAUAGAGUGGUUUGGGUUGGAUGAGACUGAAAAGUCAAAAUGUGACAAAUGGAAGCUGACUGUGGUAGGAAGCUGAUUUGAUAGAAAGGUGGUAUCCCCUGAGCCGAAAAAAUCAGAGUGUAUUUCAGUCAUUUCCAUCUCCCCUUUACGGAACCGUAACUUGAAAAGGAUGGAUAAACAGGGAAACCAGAAAGGGAGCUUGUUUGGCCAACUUUGACUGAACAACUUCUCCGCUAAAAUCAAGAGUCAGAAUGAGAUCUUUAUUCAGCACAGCCUGAAGAAAACUCCUCAUUAGCAGGAUGAGGUAAUUGCUUGGGGAUUGGGACCCCAGACAGCCGGCUUGAUGCCUCCACAAACGGUCUUUUGAAGCUUUCCAUCUUCCUCGGGAAACAUGGAACCUCUAUCUCCUUUUACUGGAGGUUUUCAGAUGAACUCCAAACAAGCUGCAAGUUGGCUCCGUGCCACGGUAUUACUAACACAAUCUGGCAGGAGGGCAAACAACCUCACAUUGAAGAAAAAAAAAAAAAAAAAAAAGAAGAAGAAAAAAAGAAGAAAGCCCUUGUGCUAUAACAAGUUGAUUCUGUUGGAAAAUUGCAGUCUAUUGUCCGGUGCCAAGAACAUCCAAAUCAGACCAUGUUGCUCAGGGCUUGAUCCUUCAAGGUCCUGAACACCUUAAGGAUGGAGACGGCACGACUCGCCUGGGCAAUUUCUGGCACACCUUGCUUACAAAUUAAUUGACACUUCAGCGAUUGGCUCAGCAGGGAGUUCUCUUUGCCUGCGUUGUGACUUCCUUAGCAUCUUCUGUGUGUGGAAGGAAGAUACGGGAGACUUAGAGCGGGUGGACCCUCCCAGAUGUCCUGAGGACAAGUGCUGCACUGUGUUCUACAGCCAGCAGACCUGAAAAGCCCGAGCAACUUCUUAAUUCUGCCAAAGUGGGAGGUGCAUGUGCCUCCUGCACCCUGCCAAACCCCAUCAGCGUCUUUCCCUAGCUGUUACCUCAUCUGGCCAAGCACUCUGGAGCAGUUUGUCUGUUCUUUCUCUGACACUUUUAUCUGAUUGGAUUUUGCUCCUGGCACAGCUGUGGGGCUGCUGGGUGACCUGGGGUGUGUGCUCAGAAAACCCCUCUUUUCUGGGAAGCCGUUCCACAGGACUGGCAGCAGCCUCAAUCCAGUAACUGAGCAGGGCCAUUAGGAGAAGAUACAUCAGGAUUUCUUCUUUUUUUCUGUCAAAAAUCCAUAUUCCUACAGGGGUGAUUCACAGCUUCGUGGACACGAAGGAACCCUUGGAUCACAGAACUCAAUGUCCUGGAUAAGGCCAUAAGAUUCCUCUUCUUCCUUUUCGCUGCUUCAGGCAGUCACCAACGUCUCUGCUGAACUGAAGGGGAUGUGAUGGUGGAUGUGAAAUUUGGGAGCUCCUGACAGCCUCCUGGCAACAGGGUAAGAUGGUCUGAGGUGGCCAUGAAAACAAUGCCACUGGUGCUUCAGAGGACGACAAGAAUGAAGGUGGUCUUUUGCAUAAUGGGUCAUCAAGAUGUGGACUUCCUUGACAGAAGAUGUUGCAGUGAUGAGUAGUUUAUGCGUCUAAAAGAAAAAUCUGGAGAAGAAAUGCUCAUGCUGUGUCAUUGAACUGAAAACUUGCUCCCUUGGCUUCAGAAACCCCAUGUCAGAAGGGACUGGUGGCAGGGACAGUGCUCUGGAGAAGUAGCAGUACAUAUUUGCCCUCUUUUUGUAUCCUUGCUGAAGGAUCUGCUGUCGGCCAGAGCUGAAGACGGGAGAUUGUAUAACUGAACAUUUCACCCAAAUAUCCAGAAGUGCGUAAUCCCAUAAGGCCACCAUUGUAGAAUCUGGGACUUACAGAAGAUGACUAUGAAGAAAACAGACCUCAGAGGAUCUGAGCAGAGUCUUGAGCCCAGCUAACCCACAGUCAUGUGCAGGAGGAGCGUGGGAACUGCUGGUGCAGCCUUGCAAAUGCAGAACCAGGGAGGUCGGGGCACAUGUGAGCUGCCAAGGCUGGAGCAGAGCUUCUCCCCCUGGGCUGCCGUGCUGUGGGGAGGGGGAGCUGGGGAAGCUCAGCAGCAUGACCCAGAUGGCUUCCAUAUGUGGGGUGGCGGUGAGUCAUAGCUUGUGCUCAAAAGAGGCUGGAGAGUGGUGAUGGAGGAGCACACGAGGCUUUGCUGAGGACACGAGGAGCUCAGCGUGGAGGUGCCAGUGACAUGACAGAGUCCUCCUGUGUGGAAAACGUUGCUUUAUCUCUAUGACCCCCGCCACAAAUACGUAUCUAGUGCAAAAGUAAAUCCUGAUAUUAAAAGGGCCUAGGCUGUGUAAAAUACAAGCCUCUGGCUGAUUUCCCAAGGGAUCACAAGGCCCAGCUCCCACCGCCUUGGAAAUAAGAAUGAAGCUGCUGCAGAUGUCCCUCUUGCAAAUCACAGAAUCAUUCAGGUCGGAAAAGACCUCCGAUAUCACCCAGCCCAACCCCAACCCAUCCCACCAUGCCCACUGACCACGUCCCUCAGUGCCACAUCUCCAAGGUUCUGGAACACCUCCAGGGAUGGUGACUCUACACUUCCCUAGGCAGCUGUGCCAGUGGUUGACCACUCUUUGGAGAAGAAAUUGUUCCUAAUAUCCAACCUGACCCUCCCCUGGCACAACUUGAGGCCAUCGCCUCUCAUCCCAUCAGCACAAAAUCAUUACAAAUCUAAGGAUGAACAGUAGGGUGUGCAAACACCAUGAUGGCUCAUCUUCCAGCUCUGUUAUUCAUCUCACCCAAACACGCACUUCUAGAUCCAACUCUGCUUACUGGUUUCUGCCUUCCAGUCCUCUAGGUAUGCCUUCGAUGGUUAUGAAAGAAAAGACUUUGUAUCCUACCUUUGCCCCCUUUAACAAACAGUGCUUAGCCUUUGGGAUAUGAGGAUAUUGUGCGCUCAGAGAUAAAGCAAUUCCAGGAAAGAAGGUGUUUUCUUAAUGGCAACCCUAAAGUAACUUGCUCCGGGAUAUAGACACAUCUGGUGUUAAUUCUUCCAGUGACUUGUAGUGAGAGCUGAGUGACUCUUUUUUUCAGAGGUUAUAGGACUGAAAUGAUACAGAAAUUCAGGGAAUUGUUUCCUCUGGGGGUAAAACAGGGCUGAGGCCUUUUUUAAAAUAAUAAUAAUAAUAAUAAUAAUGAAGCAUUUGGAAUUCUGGAUUUCAAAACGGUUCCUUGUCUCAGCAUGGAAUUCAAACAAUUCUUUGCAAGGAUUAAAUAAGCUGAAAACAAAACAAAGCACCUUGGAGUGAAACAAAACAUUCAGAGUUGCUCUGAAAUAAAAAUGCAGUAUUAUUUGUUCUGCAAAAUAAAAAUAGAAACAAAUCUCUCCUUGGGGUUGGUGUUUAGCUGAUCCACUUUUCCAGCAAUUCAGCUCUACAGCUCUGCUCACUGUUUUUGGAAUUUUAAGAAUGAAGGUAACUUCUCCUUCUGCUGGCACAGACAGGAUGGAGCAGCAGUGGGGGUGUACACAUUUCUGAACAGAGCUCUGUUACCAUGCUCAGAGCAUCCCUCCAAGCACCUGCUGAUGGGGUGAAUACUGGUGGGGACAUUUUUCCAGGCCAAAUAUCUGUGGAUAAAUGAAGAUUCACUCUCUAGGCAGCAGGGUACAUUUCACCCAAAUCCCUGUGUUUCAUUUUUCCUGAGAAGCU